rnacentral:rRNA from 1 species
GAUGAACGCUGGCGGCGUGCCUAAUACAUGCAAGUCGAGCGAACGGACGAGAAGCUUGCUUCUCUGAUGUUAGCGGCGGACGGGUGAGUAACACGUGGAUAACCUACCUAUAAGACUGGGAUAACUUCGGGAAACCGGAGCUAAUACCGGAUGAUAUUUUGAACCGCAUGGUUCAAAAGUGAAAGACGGUCUUGCUGUCACUUAUAGAUGGAUCCGCACUGCAUUAGCUAGUUGGUAAGGUAACGGCUUACCAAGGCAACGAUGCAUAGCCGACCUGAGAGGGUGAUCGGCCACACUGGAACUGAGACACGGUCCAGACUCCUACGGGAGGCAGCAGUAGGGAAUCUUCCGCAAUGGGCGAAAGCCUGACGGAGCAACGCCGCGUGAGUGAUGAAGGUCUUCGGAUCGUAAAACUCUGUUAUUAGGGAAGAACAUAUGUGUAAGUAACUGUGCACAUCUUGACGGUACCUAAUCAGAAAGCCACGGCUAACUACGUG